CUUCAAGCAACACUGGCUAGAAAAAAUACUGUUCUAAAUGAUACUGCAAACUCAUAUUUCAGUAGUUUGGUCUUAACCAAAAAAGAAAUACAGUGUCUGAUUGCAAUGUGCAGCAUAUCUAUUGUAUUUUUGUGGCUCCAUUUCUAUAAUACCUCACAAUAUCUAAUGCAUUUAUCCUCACUAGUCCCCUAUGGGGUAGAUAUUAUCACCUUUUUAUGUAUGGUGAAUUGAACAAAGAGAAACUAAGCAACUUGCAAAAGGUCAUUCAGGCCACAUGUGGCAGAGCAGAGAACUGAACCUGCAUCUCCUGGAUCCCACGCAAGUGCCUACCCAUUGCAUCAUUCUUCCUUUCAGUUAGGCUACUCUACUGUACUCUGUAUUAUAGAAUAGCGCCAUGCCAGCAGUAAUGUUGAAGAACGAUAAAAUUAGUUCAUAGAGAACCUUUCAUCCUGAAGUAUAAUUUAUAAAUUAUAUCCCUCUGGAAACGCAUAAUAAUGUUAUCAUAACUAAAAGAAUUAAACAUUAUUUUACAUUUUCCUUAAUGAGUACUCAGUUCUAAGAGGCAACUAACAAGCCUCACAACAGUAGGAAGAGAAAUUUUGACUAAGAAACCCUGCUAUAUUCCCAUUAAAAGUGCCAUAACAUCUUUAAUAGCCACAUAGGGUUGACAGGACAAAAGUGAGGCUCAGAUCGCUAUAUAAAUAACUUACAGAACACAUUUAAUUAAUGGGGAGGUGCUCUGGAAUGCAUUUAUUUUAAGAGACCUUCCUGUUUUUAUAAAUAUGUUAUUCAAAAAUACUGUCUGGACUUUAGUUGUAAAUUAUCUGCUCAAGAACCACGUAAUUCGCACACAUUCAGCUGGCAGUGUGACAGAAUGGACAGCUACAGCUCUGGGACACUCUCUCAGGUAUAGACUUGGGAGGUGGGAGCUGUCAGUGAAAGGCCACCAGGAUGCAAGUCUUGGUUUCUUUUGGUGUUUAAACUGAUAAGGACAAAUGCCACCUACCUGCCCCAAUGGGUGGGGGAACUUGAUAUGGAUGGCAGUGAAGGGGAAUAGGCCCAGCAGCGAGGGAGGGAGACACUCACUUAGGUACACUAGGUAGCUCCUCCUCCUGGGCGUCUCUGACACCUGUUGGCCAGCUGGUGGGGAGGGCUGCUGAUUGGCUAGCAUUCACCAACAUUUAACCUGGAGUGGGGGCAUGUAGAGCCUCUUUGCUCCUGGAACCAAUUAAAUGCCUGGUACAGGAGAGUAUGGGUGAUGGGUGGGUAGCACCUUUCCCUUGUGUUAAAGUUUAAUAAAAGUUGGGGCCUCCUGCUUAAUUCCAUGCAUGUGCCUGUCCUCAUUUUGCUGCUGUGUCCACAUAAAAUCAGAGGAAGGCUGCACACAGCUGAGGAAAGGAGUGUUGGCUUUCAACCUGAGAGAGGUUGUGGCGUCAUUGUAUGUGGAGAUUUGGGAUUUGAAGACAGCUUCUUGGAAGAAAAAGUGGUAUUCCAUUAUUCAUAAACCUAGAGACCCAAAGAAUAGACAGUAUCUCAUAUAUAAGACUCAGAGGGAAAGUCAUCAGAAAGGGUGAGAGUUGUAGAUGAACCAGCUUAACUUGAGGUACACUUAGGAACAGCUUGUAACUUGACUUCAAUCAAGGAGGAUUUCCCUCCUCUUCUGUGUCUUUUGCAAGGGACAGGGACAACCCGCACUGCAGAUUAUCCUAAGGAGGCAGGGAGCAGGCAGGGUGGGGAAUAAGAUCCAAACACCCAGGACACACUGGGUAGCUUUGGAAGGGAUAAUGCCGCUAUACUCUAUUCCUAAAUGACUUCUAUUUGCAUGUUCUCCACUACUGCUGUGAUGAUGAUCAUGAUGAUGACAAUUAUUAUUAUUGGUAUUGGGGUAGUGGGUAAGCACCCCAGUCAUGGGCCACAAACCCAUUGCGCUUGGUGCUGUACAAACACAGAACAAAAAGAUUAUCCCUGCCCCCAAAGAGCUUACAGUGUAAGUACAACAAUUACUGUCAAAUGUACUUCCCCAGUCUGGACUUAUCUGCUGGUCUUCAGGCUCCUAUCUCUAACUGUGUCUGACACCUCACGCUGAAUGAGUUGUUGCCAUUUCAGACUCAACAUGGCCAAAACUGACCUACUAAUAUUUCAGCCCAAACCUUCCUCCCUACCUCAGUCCUCCAGUGCAAUUCAUAACUUUACCAUCCUUCCUUUCCCCCAAACCCAUAACUUAGGGGUUAUCUUUCAUUCCUCCUUGUUCUUUUCUCAGCACAUCCAGCUGGUGGCCAAGUGGGGUCACUUAUCUAAAACCUGCCCCUUCCUUUCUGUCCUGACUGCCAAAUUGUUUGUCAACACCCAUAUCAUCUCCCACCAUGACUGCUGCAAUCUUCUUUUCUUGGGUCUCUUCCCUAGUAACCUGCCCCACCUUCUCAUGCCUGUCCAUCCAAAAUGCUGCUGCUGAAAUCAGUUUUCCUAUGCCAUCCCCUCAGCCAUGUUGAGCUAUUGCAGUAGCUUCCCAUUGCCUGAGCCUCACAUUCACAGUUUUUGUGUUCAAGACCAGACGUAGCCUACAUCUCUGACUUGGUCUCCUUUCGUGCCCUACCUUCAACUCCUCUACACUCACCAAUGAUUCUGGCCUCGCUAUCCCCUUUAUCUGCUUCUCUCACAGGCAUGCCUGUGUCUCUUUCCAUGCUGGAAUGCCCAUCCUGAACCUGUACAACAGGUUACCUCCCUCCUCUUCCACCAUAUCCAAUUCCCUACUACACAGAGCAGACAAGAAGUGAAAGGGACGAGCCAGACCAUUGUGAUAUGUAUGUACCAUACAGAGUGGCCACCAGAUCUUGUUGUUUUCAUCCUUGUUCCUUCUGUGUAUAGCACACUUGGUUACUAACCCUCACUUGCAAUGUCACACUCAAUCAAGACACUCAUCUGGUCAGGCACCACUUGUAUACUUGUAGGAAGCACCUGGCCCAUUUGCCCUGAACCACUGCCAAAGCAGGGCUAUUCUUUAAAGUCAUUUACUAGCCCAUGCUGUGAUGGAAAUGUGGAAGGAAUGAGUUUAUUUCAGCAGUUGUUUGCAUGGUGUUAAGGAUUAAGUUUGCAUUUUUGGACACUUAGUAAUAGCUUUCAAAUUUCCAUACUUGCGUUGUUCCUUGUUAUGACUGUAAAUAGAAUUUCUAGUUUUUCAUCAUCUUUUUCCUUUGGGCCAGUUACAUUUCAUCAUAUGAAAAUAUAAAAAGGGAAUUGGUACUUUAACUUUGAUCCACCCUCAGAAUCAUGCUAUGAUUAAAUCAUCAGGAAUAAGGAUAAGGGUGUUUCCAUUCUGCUCUGAAUAUCAUCUAACUGAAAAGAUUGGGUUGUGGAAGCAUAAACUCUUACAGUAACCUUCUUAGGAAAUGCCUCUUUACAACUUGACUCUGGAAUAGAGGAGACAGCCAUGACAUUGUAUAAUUAGUAUGACUGUAGCUUUUAAAAUCUCAGUUGAGCAGAUAACUUUAUCAGAGUUGUAUAAUGUGCAUAGUCAUGAAAUCAUACUGUGUGUUUAUCGCAAACAAAUAUGUAAUCCUACUUACAAAGCUGAAGAAUCAAAAAUAUACACUCUAUUAGGAAUUAUGAGCAAUAUUUAAAUGUAAAGUCAUUUAGCACUAUAUCAAAUGGGAUGGUCAUAAUAAUAAUACCUUAUUUAUUAUUACCGUAAUAAUAAUACUUUUAUUAUAUAGAGCUUUAGCCAUUCAAAACUCUGUAAAAGCAUUAACUAACCUUGAGUACCUCAAGGAGGUAGAUAAAUCAUCCCCAUUAUA